UAACACACCUGUCGAUAAAUCUUCAAAAGUGAUUUUCGUUACCGUAAUUGAUGGUGAGGUUAAUACUCAAUACGAUAUUGUUUUGCAGAAAAGAAUUCCUGACAAAGAUGAAACAAACGAUCUUGAGAAAAUUGCUGACGUCUUAAAAAGAAAAAAGUAAGGCCCUAAAACACGUGUUUCUCUCGUGCGAAAACUUUUGUUUUCAGAAAGAAAGCGAACUACGACCCAAUAAUUGGGUUGUAAUUGGUGACGAUUCGCCUGUAAAGGACAGAAGUGAAUUGAGGUGCGUCGUAAUGAAACCGAAAUUCGAUUUCAGUAGUGUGGAAGCCAUUGUUCAAUUAUCUGACAUACCGGAUGAAGAACCAAAUUUGUCCAUUGUUAGACAUUCUACGGCAUUGUUGGGAGAUGUUCCUAGUCUAAACCUUUCACUGCCAGAAGAAGACACUUCUCAAAACAGUUAUUUCAUCAAAAAAACUACUGAGAAACAAGUACAACCACUGAAAAGAAAGACUGCUUGUAUUAGUUCUAGUGAUAGCAGCAGUGAAUAAUCAGAUGAUGGGUAGCGUAUCAAUUCCCAACUGUUAACAGUAUCUGAAAGAGUGAACAGAGAGUGUGUACGACUAAAUUCUGCUUCUACUGAGAAACAAGUACAACCACUGAAAAGAAAGACUGCUUGUAUUAGUUCUAGUGAUAGCAGCAGUGAAGAAUCAGAUGAUGGUCAGCGUAUCUAUUCCCAACUUUUUACAGUAUCUGAAAGAGUGAACAGAGAGUGUGUAC